rnacentral:rRNA from 1 species
GACGAACCGUGCGAACGUUAUUCGGAAUCACUGGGCUUAAAGCGCGUGUAGGUGGGACGGUACGUCCGACGCUGAAAUCCCCCGGCUCAACCGGGGAACGGGCGCGGAUACGGCCGGCCUCGAGGAACGUAGGGGGAGCUGGAACUUCCGGUGGAGCGGUGAAAUGCGUUGAGAUCGGAAGGAACGCCCGUGGCGAAAGCGAGCUCCUGGACGUUUUCUGACACUGAGACGCGAAAGCCAGGGGAGCGAACAGG